rnacentral:rRNA from 1 species
GAUGAACGCUGGCGGCGUGCCUAAUACAUGCAAGUCGAGCGAACGGACGAGAAGCUUGCUUCUCUGAUGUUAGCGGCGGACGGGGGAGUAACACGUGGAUAACCUACCUAUAAGACUGGGAUAACUUCGGGAAACCGGAGCUACUACCGGCUAAUAUUUUGAACCGCAUGGUUCAAAAGUUAAAGACGGUCUUGCUGUCACUUAUAGAUGGAUCCGCGCUGCAUUAGCUAGUUGGUAAGGUAACGGCUUACCAAGGCAACGAUGCAUAGCCGACCUGAGAGGGUGAUCGGCCACACUGGAACUGAGACACGGUCCAGACUCCUAUGGGAGGCAGCAGUAGGGAAUCUUCCGCAAUGGGCGAAAGCCUGACGGAGCAACGCCGCGUGAGUGAUGAAGGUCUUCGGAUCGUAAAACUCUGUUAUUAGGGAAGAACAUAUGUGUAAGUAACUGUGCACAUCUUGACGGUACCUAAUCAGAAAGCCACGGCUAACUACGUG